rnacentral:tmRNA from 1 species
GGGGGCGCACCGGCUUCGACGGGAACACGUCGGGGUCAUGGUUGCAUGCCGAGCUUCGGUUCGCUCGUAAAACCGAUCGAAAAACAUAAACGCGAACAACGAUUUCGCCCUCGCGGCCUAAAAACCCACGAGCGCUCCUCCGUCGCACGCUCACUGCGGCGGUUCCGAGCGUCAUGAUGUGAGCUGGUAGUGCGCGCAACGCCUACGCGCGUACUACGAGAUCAAGAGGCUGGUUCGUGACCGGUUCCCGCUCUCCGGACAGAUCACGAACGAGAUCAAGCGGAGAGACAAGCAUGUAGUAGCCAGGCUGCCACUGUUUUCGGACGCGGGUUCAACUCCCGCCGCCUCCACCA